rnacentral:lncRNA from 1 species
UCGGAAUCAGAUGAGUCCAUGAACUGGCAGCAGUCAGGGCAGUGAUGACAUCACAGAAGGAGGAUGGGCCUUAGACAGACAUCACUCUUUAGAAUCCCUGCAACUUUGAGCAAGUUCGUGAAUCUCACUAAGGCUCAGUUUCCUCCAUAAAAUUAAUCAAUAUCAGGGCCUCUGCAUUGGACAACUCCAGAGGGCACCAUUGGGGUUAUACCUUGUGUUUGCCUAACCUUCAUUGCAGUGGGCAGGUGCAUGCUUUCUACAAUGUCCUAAGGUCUAAAGGGGUAGAGUUCUGUGUGUGGCAUUUUAGGCCUGGAAAGGAUGAGAGUCUACAAAACCAGAGAAAUACUGCAGCAAAUGGUCAAACCCAGGAGGGAAUGGUAUGAACCUCUGGUUUACAGCCAUUGGUAAGAAGCACACAUGACAACCUGGACUUUCCAUCAACAUUUGAAGCGGGAGCAGUCUUGUGGGAUCAAGCUCUUAACCUGUGGGGUCUGCUACUAACUCUGAAUCCAAUGAACACAUGGACCCAACACUCCUUUGGCCAAGUUGAUGAUUCUCCACCAUUUAUUUGCCUGCCUCACUAUACACUUCUAGCAAGCCACUGCAAGGCUGCAUUGCAGCUAAGAGGAAGCCCUCCUUGAAGGCUGCACAGCAAGGAGUGUUGGCAGAGUAGCUGGGUUUCCACUGGGAGAGCACGAGUCAGCAUCAUGCUGGGCUCAAGCAUGGAUAUGCACUGCUGCUGCCAGAGCAUCAUAAUUUGCAAGCAUUUAUCGAGUACCCUUCAUCUAAUUUUCAUCCUGCGGAAACUAGAAAUUGCUACACUUGCACACAAUAAACUUCUGGCAGUUAGCCUUCUAAACUGGGACACUACCAUUUGGGAGGGAAAAG